CCUACGGGUGGCAGCAGUGGGGGAUAUUGCACAAUGGGGGAAACCCUGAUGCAGCGACGCCGCGUGGGUGAAGAAGCGCCUCGGCGCGUAAAGCCCUGUCAGCAGGGAAGAAAAUGACGGUAUCUGAAGAAGAAGCCCCGGCUAACUACGUGCCAGCAGCCGCGGUAAUACGUAGGGGGCAAGCGUUAUCCGGAUUUACUGGGUGUAAAGGGGGAGCAGACGGCGAAGCAAGCCAGGAGUGAAAUCCCGGGGCCCAACCCCGGGACUGCUCUUGGAACUGCGUGGCUAGAGUGCAGGAGGGGCAGGCGGAAUUCCUGGUGUAGCGGUGAAAUGCGUAGAGAUCAGGAGGAACACCGGUGGCGAAGGCGGCCUGCUGGACUGCAACUGACGUUGAGGCCCGAAAGCGUGGGGAGCAAACAGGAUUAGAUACCCCUGUAGUC
rnacentral:rRNA from 1 species